rnacentral:rRNA from 1 species
GACGAACGCUGGCGGCGUGCCUAAUACAUGCAAGUCGAACGCAUUUUCUUUCACCGUAGCUUGCUACACCGAAAGAAAAUGAGUGGCGAACGGGUGAGUAACACGUGGGUAACCUGCCCAUCAGCGGGGGAUAACACUUGGAAAUAGGUGCUAAUACCGCAUAAUUCCAUUUACUGCAUGGUAGAUGGAUGAAAGGCGCUUUUGCGUCACUGAUGGAUGGACCCGCGGUGCAUUAGCUAGUUGGUGGGGUAACGGCCUACCAAGGCUGCGAUGCAUAGCCGACCUGAGAGGGUGAUCGGCCACACUGGGACUGAGACACGGCCCAGACUCCUACGGGAGGCAGCAGUAGGGAAUCUUCGGCAAUGGACGCAAGUCUGACCGAGCAACGCCGCGUGAGUGAAGAAGGUUUUCGGAUCGUAAAACUCUGUUGUUAGAAAAGAACAAGGAUGAGAGUGGAAAGUUCAUCCCUUGACGGUAUCUAACCAGAAAGCCACGGCUAACUACGUG